CGAGCGGUAGAGGGAAGCUUGCUUCCCUUGAGAGCGGCGGACGGGUGAGUAACACCUGGGAAUCUGCCUGGUAGUGGGGGAUAACGUUCCGAAAGGAACGCUAAUACCGCGUACGUCCUACGGGAGAAAGCAGGGGAUCUUCGGACCUUGCGCUAUCAGAUGAGCCCAGGUCGGAUUAGCUAGUAGGUGGGGUAAUGGCUCACCUAGGCGACGAUCCGUAACUGGUCUGAGAGGAUGAUCAGUCACACUGGAACUGAGACACGGUCCAGACUCCUACGGGAGGCAGCAGUGGGGAAUAUUGGACAAUGGGCGCAAGCCUGAUCCAGCCAUGCCGCGUGUGUGAAGAAGGUCUUCGGAUUGUAAAGCACUUUAAGUUGGGAGGAAGGGAAGUAAGCUAAUAUCUUGCUUCUUUGACGUUACCAACAGAAUAAGCACCGGCUAACUCUGUGCCAGCAGCCGCGGUAAUACAGAGGGUGCAAGCGUUAAUCGGAAUUACUGGGCGUAAAGCGCGCGUAGGUGGCUAAGUAAGAUGGGUGUGAAAUCCCCGGGCUCAACCUGGGA
rnacentral:rRNA from 2 species